rnacentral:rRNA from 1 species
AUACGUAGGGUGCGAGCGUUGUCCGGAAUUACUGGGCGUAAAGAGCUCGUAGGUGGUUUGUCGCGUCGUCUGUGAAAUUCCGGGGCUUAACUCCGGGCGUGCAGGCGAUACGGGCAUAACUUGAGUACUGUAGGGGAGACUGGAAUUCCUGGUGUAGCGGUGAAAUGCGCAGAUAUCAGGAGGCACACCGGUGGCGAAGGCGGGUCUCUGGGCAGUAACUGACGCUGAGGAGCGAAAGCAUGGGUAGCGAACAGGAUUAGAUACCCUGGUAGUCCAUGCCGUAAACGGUGGGCGCUAGGUGUAGGGGUCUUCCACGACUUCUGUGCCGUAGCUAACGCAUUAAGCGCCCCGCCUGGGGAGUACGGCCGCAAGGCUAAAACUUAAAUGAAUUGACGGGG